UACGGAGGAUCCGAGCGUUAUCCGGAUUUAUUGGGUUUAAAGGGAGCGUAGGUGGAUUGUUAAGUCAGUUGUGAAAGUUUGCGGCUCAACCGUAAAAUUGCAGUUGAAACUGGCAGUCUUGAGUACAGUAGAGGUGGGCGGAAUUCGUGGUGUAGCGGUGAAAUGCUUAGAUAUCACGAAGAACCCCGAUUGCGAAGGCAGCUCACUGGACUGCAACUGACACUGAGGCUCGAAAGUGUGGGUAUCAAACAGG
rnacentral:rRNA from 1 species